rnacentral:lncRNA from 1 species
UCAGUAUUUUGAUGGAAAUAUUCAAAAGGUCUGGGCAGCUUUCUUAUAUUAUUUUCCACAGUACAGUAUUUGGAAGUUUUGAGGCACAUUUCUGUCCUGGGAAGCCUCUGAAUCUCGUCUCCAAGGAUGACUGGGUCAAUUCCCAGCACCAGAAGGAGUGAACAAUUGCACCUGCCUUUCCACAACCCCUCCAACAAUGACUCCAUCUUUUCUCAUUUUUGCCAAUUUGAUUGAGGUGACAGAAAGAAGGGCUAUUAAUAAUUGUGAUGACGAUGAUGGUGAUGAUGAAGAAAGCCAGUGCUUUAAGGUUUAUGAAGCACUUGGAACAUGUUAACUCACUUGACCUCCACAACAACUCUGUAAAACGCCUGUGGCAAUCUGGUAAAGCCAAUAGACCAUUUCCCAGGAAAAUGGUGUUACAUGCAUUAAAUAAAAUACAGAGGAUUACAAAGGAAACCACUUGCAUUGAAACAAAGUGUUCUCAGAAAAGCUUAGCCAGUAGCAGAUGAGGUACCUAGAGCACACCCCAAAGAAAAACACAAACACUUCUAGACACCAAGAGCUACUAACCCAAAGGAGGAAGCAAUCUCAAGGAGCACCAUCCAUUUGCAUGAGAGAAUUUUGACUGAAGAAGGGACUUCGAGAAACCAAGAGUUGUGAGCUACUUCCUCCUUUUUCACAUGGAUUCUCUGCAUGUGUACUUCAUUCUGCCAUGGACUUGUGCAUAUUCACGGGAGUUUGUCCCUCAAACUUUGGGGAGCUGUUUUACUCACUGUUCUUACUCACUGGCAUAUCACUCUAGGGGUCUCCAACUUGAGAAGCGGUCAAGAGUAGCCAUCCUUCAUUCCCAAACAGAGGAAGGUUAAGGUUAUUAUGUUGGUAAUGGACAACAUCACAUUCAUGAGUAUUCACAGGAUACAAUGAAGACAGAAAGACCCUAAGGGGAAUAUAAUGCUCCAUGUCAUCUCCCCCCCCCCAUAUAAACUUGGUCCAUAUAUGACAUUUAACAUAUAACUUAGAUGGUUCCCAUGGUUUGCUGUUUGAG